ACAUCUUGGAGGAGCUGCUUAUGGUUACCAUCCUGCCGCUCAUGUGUCACAUGGGUAUAGAAAACCCCUUCUGCACCACGCACCCGUAGUUUAUGCGCACAAAUCCUACUCGAAACCACAUGUGACCCAUUACGUCAAGCCUUCUUAUCACCACGAGGUACCUCAUGCCGCACACUACCAUACUAAGCCUGUACAUUAUCUUGGAGGACAUGUCCCCCAUCAUGGCGUCGUCUACAAACCUGCUCUGAGCCAUGGGUAUCAUGGACACGGAGUUGUGCAUGCUGCAAAAAGUUAUCAUCAUCACUGAUUUCAUUCUUCAACAAGAAACUCAGAAAAUUACAUUUCUUAGAUAGCUUGUAACUAGUCUACAUCCAGAAUAGCGUUGACAACCUGUAACAAUGAAAAUGUUUCGUACUUUGAAUAAAGGCAUAUCAACUCUGA